CAGGGAAUCUUGCACAAUGGGCGAAAGCCUGAUGCAGCGACGCCGCGUGGGGGAUGAAGGCCUUAGGGUCGUAAACCCCUUUCAGCAGGGACGAAAAUGACGGUACCUGCAGAAGAAGCCCCGGCCAACUACGUGCCAGCAGCCGCGGUAAGACGUAGGGGGCGAGCGUUGUCCGGAUUUACUGGGCGUACAGGGAGCGUAGGCGGUUGGGUAAGCCCUCCGUGAAAUCUCCGGGCCUAACCCGGAAAGUGCGGAGGGGACUGCUCGGCUAGAGGAUGGGAGAGGAGCGCGGAAUUCCCGGUGUAGCGGUGAAAUGCGUAGAGAUCGGGAGGAAGGCCGGUGGCGAAGGCGGCGCUCUGGAACAUAUCUGACGCUGAGUGAGCGAAAGCCAGGGGAGCAAACGGGAUUAGAUACCCGUGUAGUCCCUGAGCGGGCUGGCAAGGCGCAU
rnacentral:rRNA from 1 species